rnacentral:siRNA from 1 species
GAAGUGAAGUGGUGAUGUCC